rnacentral:tRNA from 4 species
UUGGGGUAUAGCCAAGCGGUAAGGCAACGGACUUUGACUCCGUCACUCGUUGGUUCGAAUCCAGCUACCCCAGU